GACGAACGCUGGCGGCGUGCUUAACACAUGCAAGUCGAGCGGAGCGGCGAACGGGUGAGUAACGCGUGAGUAACUGCCCCCCUCCCUGGGGUAACAGUUGGAAACGGCUGCUAAUACCUGCUAGUGGGGGAUGACUCGCGUCCUAUCAGCUUGUUGGUGGGGUAGUGGCCUACCAAGCCGACGACGGGUAGCCGGCCUGAGAUGGCGACCGGCCACAUUGGGCUGAGAUACGGCCCAAACGCCUACGGGAGGCAGCAGUGGGGAAUAUGGCACAAUGGGGGAAACCCUGAUGCAGCAACGCCGCGUGCGGGAUGACGGCCUUCGGGGUGGAAACCGCGUUCAGCCAUGACGCGGUAGUGGCAGAAGAAGCACCGGCUAACUACGUGCCAGCAGCCGCGGUAAUUC
rnacentral:rRNA from 1 species